rnacentral:rRNA from 1 species
GAUCAUGGCUCAGGAUGAACGCUAGCUACAGGCUUAACACAUGCAAGUCGAGGGGCAUCAGUUUGGUUUGCUUGCAAACCAAAGCUGGCGACCGGCGCACGGGUGAGUAACACGUAUCCAACCUACCUCAUACUCGGGGAUAGCCUUUCGAAAGAAAGAUUAAUAUCCGAUAGCAUAUAUUUCCCGCAUGGGUUUUAUAUUAAAGAAAUUCGGUAUGAGAUGGGGAGUGCGUUCCCAUUAGUUUGUUUGGGGGGG